rnacentral:rRNA from 1 species
GACGAACGCUGGCGGCGUGCUUAACACAUGCACGUCGAACGGUAAGGCGCUUCGUGGUACACGAGUGGCGAACGGGUGGGUAACACGUGGGUGAUCUGCCCUGCACUUCGGGAUAAGCCUGGGAAACUGGGUCUAAUACCGGAUAGGUACACUGCUUGCAUGGGUGGUGGUGGAAAGCUGUUGCGGUGUGGGAUGGGCCCGGGGUCUAUGAGCUUGUUGGGGGGGUGACGGCUGACCAAGGCGACGACGGGUAGCCCGCCUUGGAGGGUGACCGGCCACACUGGGACUGAGAUACGGCCCAGAGUCCUACGGGAGGCAGCAGUGGGGAAUAUUGCACAAUGGGCGCAAGCCUGAUGCAGCGACGCCGCGUGAGUGAUGACGGCCUUCGGGUUGUAAACCUCUUUCAGCACGGACGAAGCGCAAGUGACGGUAGGUGCAGAAGAAGGACCGGCCAACUACGUGCCAGCCGCCGCAGUAA